UACGUAGGGGGCAAGCGUUGUCCGGAUUUAUUGGGCGUAAAGAGCGUGUAGGCGGCCAGGUAGGUCUGCUGUGAAAACUCGAGGCUUAACCUCGAGCUGUCGGCGGAAACCAUCUGGCUAGAGUCCGGAAGAGGAGAGUGGAAUUCCUGGUGUGAGCGGUGAAAUGCGCAGAUAUCAGGAAGAACACCUAUGGCGAAGGCAGCUCUCUGGGACGGUACUGACGCUGAGACGCGAAAGCGUGGGGAGCGAACAGG
rnacentral:rRNA from 1 species